CUGGGGCCCGUUCUUCGUACGUCGCUAACUCGGUUAGCUGGAUUUGAUUGUUGACGAUUUGGCAUGAUCUUGGAUUGUUUGGUUCUUGGACGCUCAUCCUGGACUUGCUGUCAUAGCAACAGGUGCUUACGAUGGGGUCCUGCUUGGGGACAGGGGCUAUGCCUGCAGGCAGUACUUCAUGACACCAUUCCCUGGACCACAAACCCGUUACAAUGCAGCUCUAGCCAGGACAAGGGCACGCAUCGAAAUGACCUUUGGCCAACUAAAGGGAAGAUUUCAGUGUCUUAAGGGUCUGAGGGUUGCACCUGACAGGGCCUGUGACAUUAUUGUUGAAUGUGCCAUCCUCCAUAAUAUUGCCACCAUCAGAAAGGAGAGGACCCCUGUGGUGGAGGUGCAGCCUGAUGAUGACCUCCAGGCAGUGCACUUGGACCAACCAGCAGAGCUGCACAGGACAGAAUUGUGGAAAACCAUUUUUGAAUUCUUUUUUACACAUAAACCUUCAUUAAAUUAAUAAUAGAAGACAAGACAA